rnacentral:lncRNA from 1 species
ACACAUCAAAUCAGGAAGAUCAUAGCACACUUGCACACAGUCUUGAUCAGCAAUGGCAUCUCACAGAGCUGCUGUUUUUGCUGUUCUUACGCUGCUACUUUCAGUAGCUGCAAUUGCAAUGGCUAGGCCAAUCAGAAGAAGCGAUUUGGGCUUGGGCCUUGGCGCCAAUGGUGGGCUAGGUGUAGGACUAGGACUUGAUAUCGGACUAGGUGGUUCCGGCUCGGCAUCUAGUUCAGGCCAGGGCUCGGGUUAUGGGGCCUGGUCUGGGCCAAACGGUGGUUCUUACACUGCGUCAGGUCAUGGGUUGGGCUUGGGCUCCGGAUAUGGGUAUGGAUCAGGAUCCGCGUAUGGAGCUGGUAAUGGGGGCUCUGCUUCGGGUUGUGGCUCUGGCUCAACAUCUUGCUCGGGCUCAGGAUCAGGUUCCGUAGGACUAGGGACAUCGAUUAACGUUGGUGUGGGUGUAGGAGCCAAUGGUGGCACUAACGGCGGGUCAGAUUGCAACACUGGCUCUGGGUCAAACUAUGGCUCUAGCACAGGCUCAAGCUCUGGCUACGGGUCGGGUGGAGUUUCCUACCGCUCACGUGGUCAUGGCGGGUCUUCUAGUAUUGGGUCAGGUUCGGGGGUUGGUUUAGGAGCAACUUCUGGUGUUGGUGCCGGUUCUAAUGUUGGGCCAAGUGGUGGUUGCUCGACUUGUGGUUCUGGUUCUAGGUCGGGAUCAGGUGCGGGUGGGGGUUCAUAUUCUGGAUCAAAUAGCGGCUCGUCAUCGAGUUCUGGCUCUGGUUCAAACUCAAAUUCAAUUGGAGGGUCAGGAUCAAGUUCGGGUGCUGGCUCUGGCUCAAGUGCAAGCUCAGGUUAUGGUGGCUCUAGUUCUGGUUCUAUGUCAGGAUCUGGUUCAAGUUCAUCAUCCGGUUCCACAGGGAUGUCAUAUGGUUCAUCAGGUGCUGGCUCAUUCAGUGGAUCAAGCAGCGGUUCAAACUCUAAUGCCGGCUCCAUGUCAGGUGCAAACUCAGGAGCCGGUUCAAGCUCUAGUGCAUAUGGUGCAUCAGGCAGUGGAUCAAACUCCAUGUCGGAUUCAGGGUCAAGCUCAGGUUCAUCCAAACUAUCCAAUAUAUGGUUAUACAUUUAAGCACAGUUUCUUUUUCUUUUGUAAGGUUUAUAGAUUAUCACGGACAUGUUUCCCAAGCUUUUAAAUGCUGCAUUUUUUUUUAAAAAAACUAUAUAUAAGUUUUUUAGAAUUAAUUUUGAAACAACUUUUAAAUUUCUAAUUUCAUUCGUUUGUACCCUCAUAUAUUAUCAUAAAACCAGUUAAUAUAAUCCAUUAUCCAUUCAUCCAUCCAGCUCAAAAGAACUGAGCGUGACAAAUAUAUGUAUCGCUAACAGCCGCUAAGUUGUGUCUCUAAAUACAAAACAAUCAUACUUAAUAUGCACUGAAUGGUAGCUAUUUAUCUUGCUGCAGGAUCGGUUAGUGCUUCCGGAAGUGGGUCGUCCAACUCUGGUGCAGGUUCAGGUUCCAGCUCUUCUUCAUGGUCCGGUUCUAAUUCUGGCUCUGGCACAAUGUCGGGAAUUGACGCUCCGUCAAGUACAGGAGCAUCGUCUACUGCUGAAUCAAACUCUGGAUCCGCCACCUCUGUCACCGGUGCAAACUCAGGCUCAUAUUCAAGCGCAUGGUCCAACUCCAACUCCAACUCCGGCUCGACUAUGCCAUCUGGUAUAGGGGUUGCUUCUAAUGCUGGCUCUAGCUCAGGUUCUUGGUCUAAUGCUGGCUCAAACACUGGCACACUCUCUGGGGCUGGAUCCUCUAACUGGUCAAGCUCGACGUCCGGGUCUACCUCAAGCUCAGGUUUAGGUGGUGGGCAAGGGGUUGGAAGCAGAUUCGGUUCCGGAGCCCAACCGACUUUUGGUAUGGGUGGAGGAGGUGGGUUUGGAGCGGGUCACGGAUUUGGAGCCGGAGCCGGAGGUUGGGGUAAGCACCAUUAAGAUAGGGUCUUGGGCAGAUUCUUAUAUAAAAAAGAAGGGGGUGAGAGUUUUGGAUCCCCUUGCUCUCAUGGUUGAUUUACAUGUUGUAUUGAGUUCCCUGGGAAUAAGCGAUCAUCAGUUUUCAGUACGCUCAGUUCCUCUUGUACACUAGCAGUAGCUGCUCUUUGUUUCCAACAAAAUGCUUGAAUCGUUGUGGUCAUCGUGACGGAUCAGUACGUACUUCUUCAUAUGUACCGGCAGAUGCUAUCUUGGAAUGAAAUCAUGAAAUCUUUGUGACCAUUUUACUUCUGGGGGAUGAUGUCCAGUUCCUCGCAACAAAUACAGACGUUGCUUGAACGUGCGUGCAACACAACCCACCACGCACGAUUCCCAUCACUACGAUUAACCCCGACACGUGACACACACACACACACACCAACCCAUCACACUUUGCUUGUACUUUGGACGAAAAAAAGAAAAGGAGAGGAGAAAACCCAACCAAAAAGCACCCAAACCUACCUGCAUUUUGGGGCACCGGCGCCGCACGCGCGCGCACCCUGCCGAUCCACCGAAGACAGCACAGAGGCACGCAAGCACCGCACCGCACCGUCCCCCUGAUCACCCCUCCCCCUCCCGCAACGUGAAAAUGCCGGAAAAAC